UACGUAGGGGGCAAGCGUUGUCCGGAUUUACUGGGCGGAAAGGGCGUGCAGGCGGUUUGUUAAGUCUAGGGUGAAAGCUCCCGGCUCAACUGGGAGAGGUCCUUGGAUACUGGCGAACUUGAGGGAUGCAGAGGAAAGUGGAAUUCCCGGUGUAGUGGUGAUAUGCGUAGAUAUCGGGAGGAACACCAUUGGCGAAGGCGGCUUUCUGGGCAUUUCCUGACGCUGAGACGCGAAAGCGUGGGGAGCGAACCGG
rnacentral:rRNA from 1 species